GACGAACGCUGGCGGCGUGCUUAACACAUGCAAGUCGAACGGUAAGGCUCCAGCUUGCUGGGGUACACGAGUGGCGAACGGGUGAGUAACACGUGGGUGACCUGCCCUGCACUUCGGGAUAAGCCUGGGAAACUGGGUCUAAUACCGGAUAGGACCGCACCGUGAGGGUGUGGUGGAAAGUUUUUUCGGUGUGGGAUGGGCCCGCGGCCUAUCAGCUUGUUGGUGGGGUAAUGGCCUACCAAGGCGGCGACGGGUAGCCGGCCUGAGAGGGUGGGCGGCCACAUUGGGACUGAGACACGGCCCAGACUCCUACGGGAGGCAGCAGUGGGGAAUAUUGCACAAUGGGCGGAAGCCUGAUGCAGCGACGCCGCGUGGGGGAUGACGGCCUUCGGGUUGUAAACUCCUUUCACCAUCGACGAAGGGUUUCUGACGGUAGAUGGAGAAGAAGCACCGGCUAACUACGUGCCAGCAGCCGCGGUAAUACGUAGGGUGCGAGCGUUGUCCGGAAUUACUGGGCGUAAAGAGCUCGUAGGUGGUUUGUCGCGUCGUCUGUGAAAUUCCGGGGCUUAACUCCGGGCGUGCAGGCGAUACGGGCAUAACUUGAGUACUGUAGGGGAGACUGGAAUUCCUGGUGUAGCGGUGAAAUGCGCAGAUAUCAGGAGGAACACCGGUGGCGAAGGCGGGUCUCUGGGCAGUAACUGACGCUGAGGAGCGAAAGCAUGGGGAGCGAACAGGAUUAGAUACCCUGGUAGUCCAUGCCGUAAACGGUGGGCGCUAGGUGUGGGUUUCCUUCCACGGGAUCCGUGCCGUAGCUAACGCAUUAAGCGCCCCGCCUGGGGAGCACGGCCGCAAGGCUAAAACUCAAAGGAAUUGACGGGGGCCCGCACAAGCGGCGGAGCAUGUGGAUUAAUUCGAUGCAACGCGAAGAACCUUACCUGGGCUUGACAUAUACAGGAUCGCGCCAGAGAUGGUGUUCCCCUUGUGGCUUGUAUACAGGUGGUGCAUGGUUGUCGUCAGCUCGUGUCGUGAGAUGUUGGGUUAAGUCCCGCAACGAGCGCAACCCUUGUCUUAUGUUGCCAGCACGUUGUGGUGGGGACUCGUAAGAAACUGCCGGGGUUAACUCGGAGGAAGGUGGGGAUGACGUCAAAUCAUCAUGCCCCUUAUGUCCAGGGCUUCACACAUGCUACAAUGGUCGGUACAGUGGGUUGCCAGUCCGUGAGGGCGAGCUAAUCCCGCAAAGCCGGUCUCAGUUCGGAUCGGGGUCUGCAACUCGACCCCGUGAAGUCGGAGUCGCUAGUAAUCGCAGAUCAGCAACGCUGCGGUGAAUACGUUCCCGGGCCU
rnacentral:rRNA from 1 species